GUCCAAGGCCAUACCAUGCUGAAUGCACCCAAUCUCACCUGAUCUUGGAAGCUAAGGAGGGUUGGGCCAGGUUAGUACUUGGAUGGGAGAUAGUGCCAAGUUUUACC
rnacentral:rRNA from 2 species